UUGCUCCUUGGGUGGCGAGUGGCGGACGGGUGAGGAAUACAUCGCAAUCUACUUUUUCGUGGGGGAUAACGUAAGGAAACUUACGCUAAUACCGCAUACGACCUACGGGUGAAAGCAGGGGACCUUCGGGCCUUGCGCGAUUGAAUGAGCCGAUGUCGGAUUAGCUAGUUGGCGGGGUAAAGGCCCACCAAGGCGACGAUCCGUAGCUGGUCUGAAAGGAUGAUCACCCACACUGGAACUGAGACACGGUCCACACUCCUACGGGAGGCAGCAGUGGGGAAUAUUGGACAAUGGGCGCAAGCCUGAUCCAGCCAUACCGCGUGGGUGAAGAAGGCCUUCGGGUUGUAAAGCCCUUUUGUUGGGAAAGAAAUCCAGCCGGCUAAUACCUGGUUGGGAUGACGGUACCCAAAAAAUAACCACCGGCUAACUUCGUGCCACCAGCCGCGGUAAUACGAAGGGUGCAAGCGUUACUCGUAAUUACUGGGCGUAGAGCGUGCGUAGGUGGUUGUUUAAGUCUGUUGUGAAAGCCCUGGGCUCAACCUGGGAACUGCAAUGGAAACUGGACAACUAGAGUGUGGUAGAGGGUAACGGAAUUCCCGGUGUAGCAGUGAAAUGCGUAUAGAUCGGGAGGAACAUCCAUGGCGAAGGCAGCUACCUGGACCAUCACUGACGCGUG
rnacentral:rRNA from 1 species